rnacentral:lncRNA from 1 species
CUAUUUGUGGACACUUGAGCAAUCGUUGUGUUGCCACAAAUAAUCGUUACAUUUGCUCCACUCACUCCGACGCCUGGGGCAUUACUUCCCGGUACGGAGCAAGACAAACUCCCCAAUAUACUUAAAUUAACAACACGAUCAACAACAGGUGGUACAAUCGGUGGUACUUGACCACCAACAGGUGGUACAAUCGGUGGUACUUGACCAACAACAGGUGGUACAAUCGGUUGGCCAAGAAUAGGACUAAGAAUGGGACCAACAAUUGGACCGAGAAUAGAACCAACAAUCGGUAAUUGGCCAAGACCAACAGGUGGUACUUGACCAACGGGUGGUACAAUACGUGGUGCAGGUUGCCCCAAAAUGGGACCCACAAAGGGAAUGGGACCCAAAAUGGGACGAACAAUGAGACCCAAACCUUGAGCAUGGGCUAGAGGACUGAUGGUGAUGAUGGAAAGUAGAACAACAAGGGAAAC